AUGCUUCUCCUAAAGACUAAGCCAUGCAUGUCUUCGAAUAAGAGGAAGCAAUUCUCUCUGAAUCUGCGAACGGCUCCGCAAACCAGUUGUAAACCAAAGCAAGCUUGCUCGGGUUGGGCUUCGGCCUGGCCUGGGUGAUACGGAUAACCCUGGUAAUUCUGAGGCUAAUACGUGUAUGGAACACCCGGUGGACCGGCCUCACGGCUGGGAUAUCGGGAGACGAGUGAUGGAAUGUUUGGAUUACCAGGAACGGGCG
rnacentral:rRNA from 1 species